rnacentral:rRNA from 1 species
AGGACGAACGCUGGCGGCGUGCUUAACACAUGCAAGUCGAGCGAGGCUCCUUCCUUCGGGAGGGAUGCCCUAGCGGCGAACGGGUGAGUAACACGUGGGCAACCUGCCCCUAGCACUGGGAUAACUUCGGGAAACCGAGGCUAAUACCGGAUAUGACCUCUGAGGGCAUCCUCGGAGGUGUAAAGGAUUCUGGCUAGGGAUGGGCCCGCGGCCUAUCAGCUUGUUGGGUGGGGUAACGGCCCACCAAGGCGACGACGGGUAGCCGGCCUGAGAGGGCGACCGGCCGACACUGGGACUGAGACACGGCCCAGACUCCUACGGGAGGCAGCAGUGGGGAAUAUUGCACAAUGGGCGCAAGCCUGAUGCAGCGACGCCGCGUGAGGGAUGACUGCCUUCGGGUUGUAAACCGUCUUUCAGCAGGGACGAAGCGAAGUGACGGUACCUGCAGAAGAAGCACCGGCCAACUACGCGCCAGCAGCCGCGGU